UCGGGAAUUUUGGGCAAUGGGCGAAAGCCUGACCCAGCAACGCCGCGUGAAGGAUGAAAUCCCUCGGGAUGUAAACUUCGCAAGAACGGGAAGAAUAAGUAAGAGUUAAUAUCUCUUACGAUGACGGUACUGUUUGUAAGCUCCGGCUAACUCCGUGCCAGCAGCCGCGGUAAUACGGGGGGAGCAAGCGUUGUUCGGAUUUACUGGGCGUAAAGGGCGCGUAGGCGGCCACCGCAAGUCGACUGUGAAAUCUCCGGGCUUAACCCGGAAAGGUCAGCCGAUACUGCGGGGCUAGAGUGCAGAAGGGGCAACUGGAAUUCUCGGUGUAGCGGUGAAAUGCGUAGAUAUCGAGAGGAACACCUGCGGCGAAGGCGGGUUGCUGGGCUGACACUGACGCUGAUGCGCGAAAGCCAGGGGAGCAAACGGGAUUAGAUACCCCGGUAGUCCUGGCCCUAAACGAUGAAUACUUGGUGUCUGGAGUUUCAAUACUCCGGGUGCCGUCGCUAACGUUUUUAGUAUUCCGCCUGGGGAGUACGCUCGCAAGAGUGA
rnacentral:rRNA from 1 species